GAUGAACGCUAGCGAUAGGCUUAACACAUGCGAGUCGAGGGGCAGCACAAGGUAGCUUGCUAUCUGGGUGGCGACCGGCGCACGGGUGCGUAACGCGUAUGCAACUUGCCCUAUACAGGAGGAUAACCCGUCGAAAGACGGACUAAUACUGCGUAUGCUCACAACUUGGCAUCAAGUGGUGAGGAAAGAAAUUCGGUAUAGGAUAGGCAUGCGUCCCAUUAGCUUGUUGGUGAGGUAACGGCUCACCAAGGCAACGAUGGGCAGGGGAACUGAGAGGUUUAUCCCCCACACUGGUACUGAGACACGGACCAGACUCCUACGGGAGGCAGCAGUGAGGAAUAUUGGUCAAUGGGCGCGAGCCUGAACCAGCCAAGUCGCGUGAAGGAUGACUGUCUUAUGGAUUGUAAACUUCUUUUAUACGGGAAUAACAAGAGUCACGUGUGACUCCCUGCAUGUACCGUAUGAAUAAGCAUCGGCUAACUCCGUG
rnacentral:rRNA from 1 species